rnacentral:misc_RNA from 1 species
AUCAUGACUUGCAAUUUCUUCAGUGUGCUAAUUUUAAAUGGCACAUGCACCCCCCUGAAAAGUUCAAAAUUACGGUUGCCUGCAAUAUACUUACUAGACAUAACUAGAUGGCGCAAGUUCUGCAACUCACCUACUUCUCUCGGAAGUACUUCUACAUUUGUUUCUCUAAUAUCCAACAACUCAAGGUUUCGAAGUUUUCCGAUAGAUUUUGGAAGCUCUGCCACUUGAGUCCAUCUCAAGUUUAAGUACUUUAAGUUGAAUAGAUUCCCAAGUCCUUCUGGCAAUACACCAAUUGCGGCAUUUUCCAAAUCCAAAGCCCUCAAUAAUUUGAACUUUGAUAGCAAUGUAUCUGAGAAAGGCAGAGAACCAUUCGCAAACACAAACAGUGAACGAAGUCGUGUCAUACUCGUAUAUGAUUGAAGGUCCUCUUUAGUUGUUUGAAUGGACAAACGGCGAGGUUGAUGAGAUUGGCAUUUGUCAAUCGUUACUUUUUCAUCAUAUACAACACCAAACUUCUCUCUCUCUGAUAUCGAUAAACCAAUCUGCUGCAAAAGAUCAUGCAUCUUGCAGCUUUUUGGUCUCCCAAAUUCAUUUCGGUCGGCAACUUGAAGCAUGCUCCGAAGUAUGAGUUCCAUGAGAUAGCUUUCAGCCACUUCUACUAAUGUAGUCCUCUCAACUUGUUGAACAAAUCCUUCCGCUAUCCAUAG